rnacentral:rRNA from 1 species
CCUACGGGAGGCAGCAGUGGGGAAUUUUGGACAAUGGGGGCAACCCUGAUCCAGCAAUGCCGCGUGAGUGAAGAAGGCCUUCGGGUUGUAAAGCUCUUUUGUCAGGGAAGAAACAGCAGCUCUAACACAGACUGCGAAUGACGGUACCCGAAGAAUAAGCACCGGCUAACUACGUGCCAGCAGCCGCGGUAAUACGUAGGGUGCGAGCGUUAAUCGGAAUUACUGGGCGUAAAGCGUGCGCAGGCGGUUAUACAAGACAGGCGUGAAAUCCCCGGGCUUAACCUGGGAAUGGCGUCUGUGACUGUAUAGCUAGGGUGUGUCAGAGGGGGGUGGAAUUCCACGUGUAGCAGUGAAAUGCGUAGAUAUGUGGAGGAACACCAAUGGCGAAGGCAGCCCCCUGGGAUAACACUGACGCUCAUGCACGAAAGCGUGGGGAGCAAACAGGAUUAGAUACCCGUGGUACGUCCACGCCCUAAACGACUGCUGACUAGUUGUUGGGUAAUUUACAUUCUCAGUAACGUAGCGUACGCGUGAAGUCAGCCGCCGUGGGGUAGUACGGUUCGCGAAGAUUAAAACGUCAAAGUUGAAUUGGACGG